AGAGUUUGAUCCUGGCUCAGAUUGAACGCUGGCGGCAGGCCUAACACAUGCAAGUCGAACGGUAACAGGAAACAGCUUGCUGUUUCGCUGACGAGUGGCGGACGGGUGAGUAAUGUCUGGGAAACUGCCUGAUGGAGGGGGAUAACUACUGGAAACGGUAGCUAAUACCGCAUAAUGUCGCAAGACCAAAGAGGGGGACCUUCGGGCCUCUUGCCAUCGGAUGUGCCCAGAUGGGAUUAGCUAGUAGGUGGGGUAACGGCUCACCUAGGCGACGAUCCCUAGCUGGUCUGAGAGGAUGACCAGCCACACUGGAACUGAGACACGGUCCAGACUCCUACGGGAGGCAGCAGUGGGGAAUAUUGCACAAUGGGCGCAAGCCUGAUGCAGCCAUGCCGCGUGUAUGAAGAAGGCCUUCGGGUUGUAAAGUACUUUCAGCGGGGAGGAAGGGAGUAAAGUUAAUACCUUUACUCAUUGACGUUACCCGCAGAAGAAGCACCGGCUAACUCCGUGCCAGCAGCCGCGGUAAUACGGAGGGUGCAAGCGUUAAUCGGAAUUACUGGGCGUAAAGCGCACGCAGGCGGUUUGUUAAGUCAGAUGUGAAAUCCCCGGGCUCAACCUGGGAACUGCAUCUGAUACUGGCAAGCUUGAGUCUCGUAGAGGGGGGUAGAAUUCCGGGUGUAGCGGUGAAAUGCGUAGAGAUCUGGAGGAAUACCGGUGGCGAAGGCGGCCCCCUGGACGAAGACUGACGCUCAGGUGCGAAAGCGUGGGGAGCAAACAGGAUUAGAUACCCUGGUAGACCACGCCGUAAACGAUGUCGACUUGGAGGUUGUGCCCUUGAGGCGUGGCUUCCGGAGCUAACGCGUUAAGUCGACCGCCUGGGGAGUACGGCCGCAAGGUUAAAACUCAAAUGAAUUGACGGGGGCCCGCACAAGCGGUGGAGCAUGUGGUUUAAUUCGAUGCAACGCGAAGAACCUUACCUGGUCUUGACAUCCACAGAACUUUCCAGAGAUGGAUUGGUGCCUUUGGGAACUGUGAGACAGGUGCUGCAUGGCUGUCGUCAGCUCGUGUUGUGAAAUGUUGGGUUAAGUCCCGCAACGAGCGCAACCCUUAUCCUUUGUUGCCAGCGGUUCGGCCGGGAACUCAAAGGAGACUGCCAGUGAUAAACUGGAGGAAGGUGGGGAUGACGUCAAGUCAUCACGGCCCUUACGAGUAGGGCUACACACGUGCUACAAUGGCAUAUACAAAGAGAAGCGACCUCGCAAGAGCAAGCGGACCUCAUAAAGUAUGUCGUAGUCCGGAUUGGAGUCUGCAACUCGACUCCAUGAAGUCGGAAUCGCUAGUAAUCGUGGAUCAGAAUGCCACGGUGAAUACGUUCCCGGGCCUUGUACUCACCGCCCGUCA
rnacentral:rRNA from 1 species